GCCAGCUGUCACAGCAGCAAUCAAAGAGCUCACUGAUCUUGCAGUUGCCCAGAAAGUCACAACCCCCAAGCUGCAGACACUCAAGGAGGGAUUUAGCUGCGUGGUUUGUAUGAACAUCAUUGAGGAUCCAGUGUUCUCACUGUGCUGCAGAA